UGGACUCUGUCCUGUCAGACUGUUCUUCGUGAAUUGAGUCCAGUUCUAAGCUGGGAUUUACUGUUUCUGGGAACUUGUAAUGGAUGAUUGGGGGAAACAGAAAUAUGUAGGCAAGAAGGGAAAAGAUUUGGUGAAAUUGGGUCACUCUUUUGCCCUAUGGCAAAAAGAACUAUUCUCCCAAAGACAGAUCUAGAGAGAGGAGGGGGG
rnacentral:lncRNA from 1 species